rnacentral:rRNA from 1 species
AGUCCCGCAACGAGCGCAACCCUUGUCUUUAGUUGUCAUCAAGUAAUGUUGGACCCUCUAGAGAGACUGCCGGUGAUAAACCGGAGGAAGGUGGGGAUGACGUCAAAUCAUCAUGCCCCUUAUGAUUUGGGCUACACACGUGCUACAAUGGUCGGUACAACAGGCAGUGAAGGAGUAAUCCGGAACGAAUCCUCUAAAGCCGAUCUCAGUUCGGAUUGUGGGCUGCAACUCGCCCACAUGAAGUUGGAGUUGCUAGUAAUCGUGGAUCAGAAUGCCGCGGUGAAUGCGUUCCCGGGUCUU